GAACGGGUGAGUAAUAUAUCGGAACGUGUCCAAUAAUGGGGGAUAACGAGUCGAAAGAUUCGCUAAUACCGCAUACGCCCUACGGGGGAAAGCAGGGGAUCGUAAGACCUUGCGUUAAUGGAGCGGCCGAUAUCUGAUUAGCUUGUUGGUGAGGUAAAGGCUCACCAAGGCGACGAUCAGUAGCUGGUUUGAGAGAACGACCAGCCACACUGGAACUGAGACACGGUCCAGACUCCUACGGGAGGCAGCAGUGGGGAAUUUUGGACAAUGGGGGCAACCCUGAUCCAGCCAUUCCGCGUGAGUGAAGAAGGCCUUCGGGUUGUAAAGCUCUUUCGCAAGGGAAGAAAACUUAUGAUCGAAUAAAUCAUGAGGUUGACGGUACCUUGAUAAGAAGCACCGGCUAACUACGUGCCAGCAGCCGCGGUAAUACGUAGGGUGCGAGCGUUAAUCGGAAUUACUGGGCGUAAAGCGUGCGCAGGCGGUUUUGUAAGUCGGAUGUGAAAUCCCCGGGCUCAACCUGGGAACUGCGUUCGAAACUGCAAGGCUAGAGUGUGUCAGAGGGGGGUAGAAUUCCACGUGUAGCAGUGAAAUGCGUAGAGAUGUGGAGGAAUACCAAUGGCGAGGGCAGCCCCCUGGGAUAACACUGACGCUCAUGCACGAAAGCGUGGGGAGCAAACAGGAUUAGAUACCCUGGUAGUCCACGCCCUAAACGAUGUCAACUAGUUGUUGGUAGAGUAAAAUCUAUGAGUAACGUAGCUAACGCGUGAAGUUGACCGCCUGGGGAGUACGGUCGCAAGAUUAAAACUCAAAGGAAUUGACGGGGGCCC
rnacentral:rRNA from 1 species